GGGAUUGCCUCAGUAACGGCGAGUGAAGCGGCAACAGCUCAAAUUUGAAAUCUGGCCCCGUCGGGGUCCGAGUUGUAAUUUGUAGAGAGUGCUUCGGGUGAGACCGCGGUCUAAGUCCAUUGGAACAUGGCGUCAUAGAGGGUGAGAAUCCCGUAUGCGACUGUGGCUCGAGCCCGUGUGAAGCCUCUUCGACGAGUCGAGUUGUUUGGGAAUGCAGCUCAAAAUGGGUGGUAAAUUUCAUCUAAAGCUAAAUACUGGCUGGAGACCGAUAGCGCACAAGUAGAGUGAUCGAAAGAUGAAAAGCACUUUGGAAAGAGAGUCAAACAGUACGUGAAAUUGUUGAAAGGGAAGCGCUUGCAACCAGACCUGUCCGUAGGUGAUCAGCCGCUGUUCUCAGUGGUGCACUCGCUCUGCGAUCAGGCCAGCAUCGGUUUUGGCGGUCGGAUAAAGGCCUUGGGAAUGUAGCUCCCCUCGGGGAGUCUUAUAGCCCUCGGUGCAAUGCGGCCAGCCGGGACCGAGGACCGCGCUUCGGCUAGGAUGCUGGCGUAAUGGUUGUAAGCGACCCGUCUUGAAACACGGACCAAGGAGUCUACAACUUAUGCGAGUGUUUGGGUGUCAAACCCAUGCGCGGAAUGAAAGUGAACGGAGGUGAGAACCCUUGAGGGCGCAUCAUCGACCGAUCCAGAUGUCUUCGGAUGGAUUUGAGUAUGAGCAUAAUUCGUGGGACCCGAAAGAUGGUGAACUAUGCCUGAAUAGGGUGAAGCCAGAGGAAACUCUGGUGGAGGCUCGCAGCGGUUCUGACGUGCAAAUCGAUCGUCAAAUUUGGGUAUAGGGGCGAAAGACUAAUCGAACCAUCUAGUAGCUGGUUCCUGCCGAAGUU
rnacentral:rRNA from 1 species